CCUACGGGAGGCAGCAGUGAGGAAUAUUGGUCAAUGGACGAGAGUCUGAACCAGCCAAGUAGCGUGAAGGAUGACUGCCCUAUGGGUUGUAAACUUCUUUUAUAUAGGAAUAAAACGAGGCACGUGUGCCCUUUUGCAUGUACUUUAUGAAUAAGGAUCGGCUAACUCCGUGCCAGCAGCCGCGGUAAUACGGAGGAGCCGAGCGUUAUCCGGAUUUAUUGGGUUUAAAGGGAGCGUAGAUGGGUUGUUAAGUCAGUUGUGAAAGUUUGCGGCUCAACCGUAAAAUUGCAAUUGAUACUGGCAGUCUUGAGUACAGUUGAGGUAGGCGGAAUUCGUGGUGUAGCGGUGAAAUGCUUAGAUAUCACGAAGAACCCCGAUUGCGAAGGCAGCUUACUAAACUGUGACUGACAUUGAUGCUCGAAAGUGUGGGUAUCAAACAGGAUUAGAUACCCUAGUAGUC
rnacentral:rRNA from 1 species